rnacentral:rRNA from 1 species
GUGAGGAAUUUUGCGCAAUGGGCGAAAGCCUGACGCAGCCAUGCCGCGUGAAUGAUGAAGGUCUUAGGAUUGUAAAAUUCUUUCACCGGGGACGAUAAUGACGGUACCCGGAGAAGAAGCCCCGGCUAACUUCGUGCCAGCAGCCGCGGUAAUACGAAGGGGGCUAGCGUUGCUCGGAUUUACUGGGCGUAAAGGGCGCGUAGGCGGACAUUUAAGUCAGGGGUGAAAUCCCGGGGCUCAACCUCGGAACUGCCUUUGAUACUGGGUGUCUUGAGUAUGAGAGAGGUGUGUGGAACUCCGAGUGUAGAGGUGAAAUUCGUAGAUAUUCGGAAGAACACCAGUGGCGAAGGCGACACACUGGCUCAUUACUGACGCUGAGGCGCGAAAGCGUGGGGAGCAAACAGGAUUAGAAACCCGAGUAGUCC